UCCACAACCAUAUCUAUCUGCAGCUCAAGACAGGUUACUCACUGAAGCUUAGCAGGGCUGAACCUGGUCCGUACCUGGAUGCGAGACCACAUAGAAAAAUUAGGUUGCUGUUGGAA
rnacentral:rRNA from 1 species